UGAGGAAUAUUGGUCAAUGGCCGGGAGGCUGAACCAGCCAAGUCGCGUGAAGGAUGAAGGAUCUAUGGUUUGUAAACUUCUUUUAUACGGGAAUAAAGUGUGGGACGUGUCCCAUUUUGUAUGUACCGUAUGAAUAAGCAUCGGCUAACUCCGUGCCAGCAGCCGCGGUAAUACGGAGGAUGCGAGCGUUAUCCGGAUUUAUUGGGUUUAAAGGGUGCGUAGGUGGUUGUUUAAGUCAGCGGUGAAAGUUUGUGGCUCAACCAUAAAAUUGCCGUUGAAACUGGAUGACUUGAGUAUAUUUGAGGUAGGCGGAAUGCGUGGUGUAGCGGUGAAAUGCAUAGAUAUCACGCAGAACUCCGAUUGCGAAGGCAGCUUACUAAACUAUAACUGACACUGAAGCACGAAAGCGUGGGGAUCAAACAGG
rnacentral:rRNA from 1 species